UUAGAUGACGCUGGUCGGCAGGCUUAACACAUGCAAGUCGAGCGCGAAAGCACUUCGGUGUGAGUAAAGCGGCGGACGGUAACGCGUAGUGAAUCUACCUAGUAGUGGGGGACAACUCGGGGAAACUCGAGCUAAUACCGCAUACGCCCUACGGGGGAAAGCGGGGGACCUUCGGGCCUCGUGCUAUUAGAUGAGCCUGCGUUGGAUUAGCUAGUUGGUGGGGUAAUGGCCCACCAAGGCGACGAUCCAUAGCUGGUCUGAGAGGAUGAUCAGCCACACCGGGACUGAGACACGGACCGGACUCCUACGGGAGGCAGCAGUGGGGAAUAUUGCGCAAUGGGCGAAAGCCUUGACGCAGACAUGCCGGCGUUGUUGUGAAGAAGGGCCUUCGGGGGUUGGUAAGCCACUUUCAAAUUGGGAAGGAAAAGGUCAACGGGUAAUA
rnacentral:rRNA from 1 species